rnacentral:rRNA from 1 species
AGUGAACGCUGGCGGCAGGCCUAACACAUGCAAGUCGAGCGGCAGCGGGUCCUUCGGGAUGCCGGCGGGCGGCGGACGGGCGAGGAAUGCGUCGGAAUCUGCCUUUUUGUGGGGUAUAACGUAGGGAAACUUACGCUAAUACCGCAUACGACCUACGGGCGAAAGUGGGGGACCGCAAGGCCUCACGCAGAAAGAUGAGCCGACGUCGGAUUAGCUAGUUGGCGGGGUAAAGGCCCACCAAGGCGACGAUCCGUAGCUGGUCUGAGAGGAUGAUCAGCCACACUGGAACUGAGACACGGUCCAGACUCCUACGGGAGGCAGCAGUGGGGAAUAUUGGACAAUGGGCGCAAGCCUGAUCCAGCCAUGCCGCGUGUGUGAAGAAGGCUUUCGGGUUGUAAAGCACUUUUGUCCGGAAAGAAAUCCUGUCGGCUAAUACCCGGCGGGGAUGACGGUACCGGAAGAAUAAGCACCGGCUAACUUCGUG